UUUCAGCUGUAUUGGAGACCAUCUCGCUAAAACUUAACAAAGGCCAUCAUGUCUGGAGUAAAGGGACAGCAAAAGAAAUGCCCUGAGCCUUGCCCACCAAGCCAUGCCCUCCACCACCACAGCAGUGCCAGGAUCCUUGCAAACAAGAGCCAAAGUGUCCUGAACCUGUUCAAAAAUGCCCUCCUCCUCAAGAACAAUGCAAACCCCAGUGCCCACAAGACCAGCAGAAAUGAGCAGAAAAUGGACCUUAAC